AUUGAACGCUGGCGGCAUGCCUUACACAUGCAAGUCGAACGGCAGCGGGGGAGAAGCUUGCUUUUCCUGCCGGCGAGUGGCGAACGGGUGAGUAAUACAUCGGAACGUGCCCUGUAGUGGGGGAUAACUAGUCGAAAGAUUAGCUAAUACCGCAUACGACCUGAGGGUGAAAGUGGGGGACCGCAAGGCCUCAUGCUAUAGGAGCGGCCGAUGUCUGAUUAGAUAGUUGGUGGGGUAAAGGCCUACCAAGGCGACGAUCAGUAGCUGGUCUGAGAGGACGAUCAGCCACACUGGGACUGAGACACGGCCCAGACUCCUACGGGAGGCAGCAGUGGGGAAUUUUGGACAAUGGGCGAAAGCCUGAUCCAGCAAUGCCGCGUGUGUGAAGAAGGCCUUCGGGUUGUAAAGCACUUUUGUCCGGAAAGAAAUGGCUCUGGUUAAUACCUGGGGUCGAUGACGGUACCGGAAGAAUAAGGACCGGCUAACUACGUGCCAGCCGCCGCAGUAAUAC
rnacentral:rRNA from 1 species